GGCUGGCCCAUGGGCCCUAUAAGGCCCUUGAAAUCUUUCGGUCUGGCCCUGCCAAGGCAUUCGGCGUGAGUUAAUUAAAUAAAACAGAACAAGCUGAUUUUUG